AGCAAAAGCAAAGUGAAAGCGAUCACAAAAACUGAUUUUAAAAUUUAAUUUAAACAAAACAAAAAAUCCGAAAAUAAAAGCUUUCUUCGAUUUGUUUAAAUAUUUUCAUUAUCAAUAAAUUUAUUCGAUACGAAAGAAUAGAAGGUUCAAACUCAAGACCGAAGAGCACACAAACCUAG